ensembl:lncRNA
GUGCUGGAGCUGUGUUACCAGGGUAAGGUGAUGGAGCUGUGUAUUACCAUGGUAAGGUGCUGGAGCUGAGUCAGUUUCAUGUUGCGUGUGGUGAUGUGUUGAGUUGAAAAUGUAGAGAAGCAGAGAGAGGUGCUGGGAGGUUUUGGGAGAUGGAGAGAGGUGUUGUAGAGAGGUGUUGUGAAGUGUUGGAAGAAGGAGAGAGGUGUUGUGAUGUGUUUGGAGACAGAGAGAGGUGUUGUGGUGUGUUGGGAGACGGAGAGAGAAGUUGUGAUGUGUCGGGAGACAGAGAGAGGUGUUGUGGUGUGUUGGGAGACAGAGAGAGGUGUUGGGGUGUGUUGGGAGACGGAGAGAGAAGUUGUGAUGUGUCGGGAGACAGAGAGAGGUGUUGUGGUGUGUUGGGAGACGGAGAGAGAAGUUGUGAUGUGUCGGGAGACAGAGAGAGGUGUUGUGGUGUGUUGGGCGACAGGCAGCAGGGUAGCCUAGUGGUUAGAGCGU